UCUCUCCCUGCUCUAGCUAACAGAAUAAUAAUAGAAAGGUUUUGUUGAUUAUACACAUAGUACGUUCAAAUGUUUUGAUUCAUUUCUCUUCGUUGAGGGUUAAAUUUUCCUUCUUCUCUUUUACAGGAUUUAAGAUCCUUGUUCUCUAGGAUCACUGGCUUCUAUGUUGCCUUAGAGGACAUUACAUUAUAGAAAAUGAUUAAUAUUCGAUACCUAAGGCGCUCUGUAGACGUUUCCUUGGUCGACAGUCGAGCUCACAUGAGCCACUUCGUUUAAUGGACGGAGUCGGACUUUCACAGAGCAAGGAACGAACUAACGUCGUUCCUCUGGAGGAGAAUAGGAUUUUUUCCAUGGACUUUCUGUAAACGCUUCGUUGGAUUGAGUGAGUCUAAUUAAUUGGGAUCCCAUCCCACGACCAUUAGUUGCUUCCUCGUGGGAAGGACAUGGUCAGCCUUCCACGAAUGAAGCAUCAAGCCUACUUGAGACCCAGAGAAUGCGGAGACCCCAUACCCACGACUAUCUGUUGCCACUUCAGGGGAAGGACAGAAUCCUCUCUAUACACUCUUUUGUUGGAGGAUAUAUCAAUUAACCACGUAUAGUUUCUAAAUAAUGUAUAAGCAUUUUUUGUUGAUCUGAGAGAAUUUAUUAAAUCUAAGACGAAUAAAUUGUUAUUCUUGAA
rnacentral:lncRNA from 1 species